UACGUAGGCAGCGAGCGUUGUUCGGAGUUACUUGGCGUAAAGCGUGCGUAGGCGGUGUCUUAAGUUUGUUGUGAAAUCUCCCGGCUUAACCGGGAGGGUGCGGCGAAUACUGAGAUGCUGGAGUGCCGGAGAGGUAAGCGGAAUUCCUGGUGUAGCGGUGAAAUGCGUAGAUAUCAGGAGGAACACCUGCGGUGUAGACGGCUUACUGGACGGUAACUGACGCUGAGGCACGAAAGCGUGGGUAGCAAACAGG
rnacentral:rRNA from 1 species